CCUUCUAGCUUCGUUUUCUGCCAUAUCUUGUAGGGGUCUCCACAUACUUGGCCCAGCCUGCUCCCUCAGCCAGAGACUGCCCUUCACAAUUUGUGCACCAUUGAUAGUUUAGUGAUCCUGCCAGUUUCAAUUCAUUAUGAUUCCUACAAUCAAAAUUAAUCACCACUGAUUUUGUGUUCUCUUGGUAUUAUGACUCACACCUCUUUUGAGGAAUUAUUUUAUUUUCCCCAAGCUAUGGUUUGUCUUCUUCCUGCAUAUUGGAUGCUCUUUGAGGUCAGGAGCCCCGAACUGGCCAUUUGUUUCUGCCUCUUAUGUAAUUCCUUUGCACCAGGUAGUUACCAGGUAGUUCAUUAGAUAUGAACUUUCUGAAUUGGAUUGAAAUUGCAAUAGCCAGAUGGAGAUAAACCUCUGCUCAUGCAUUAUGGAAUAAGUGAUGACAGCGUUAAAACAUUAACCAUUUUCAUUUUUGUUAUAGAAUGUUACAGUGAAAGUGAACAGGAAGAUCCUGAAAUAGCUGCGGAGACACCACCCCCUCCUCACGCUUCCCAGACUCAGUCUUUGGCUGCACAGCAGGCAUCUUCAUCCUCACCCAGCCUCAGUGAAACGUCGUGUUCUUUCUCUUCCCUGGAAAAUACAGUGAAGACACCCAGCAGUUUUCCUUCCUCCUUAUCUAAAGAGAGACAAUCCUUGCCUGACACAGUUAACAGUUUGUCUGCUGCUGAAGAUGAGGGACAACCAAUAACGUUUGCUGUGCAAGUUCAUUCACCUGUACCCUCAGAGGCAGGCAUCCACAAGGCCCUGGAAAACAGUUUUGUCACAUCAGAAAGUGGAUUUUUGAACUCUUUAUCUAGUGAUGAUACUUCUUCAUUGAGUAGCAAUCAUGACCAUCUUACUGUCCCAGAUAAGCCUGCUGGAUCAAAGAUCACGGACAAAGAAGAGACAAAAGUGUCUGAAGAUGAUGAAAUGGAGAAGCUGUACAAAUCAUUAGAGCAAGCUAGUCUAUCUCCUCUUGGGGACCGACGACCUUCAACUAAAAAGGAGUUGAGAAAAUCCUUUGUUAAGCGGUGUAAAAAUCCAUCUAUAAACGAGAAACUCCACAAAAUCCGAACAUUGAAUAGCACAUUAAAGUGUAAAGAACAUGAUCUGGCCAUGAUUAACCAGUUGCUGGAUGACCCGAAGCUGACAGCCAGGAAAUACAGAGAGUGGAAAGUCAUGAACACCCUGCUGAUCCAGGACAUCUAUCAGCAGCAGCGGGCUUCGCCUGCCCCUGAUGACACUGAUGACACCCCCCAGGAACUCAAGAAAUCACCUUCUUCGCCCUCUGUUGAAAAUUCCAUUUGAGACAAAGUCAGGGUUUUCUCCUCUUAUAUUUUAUCACAAGCAACUCUUCAAGAUGUUGCAAAAGCUUUCAUUUUUCCUUAAAAGGAAAACUGAAACCCAGUCCUUCAAGCAUCAGCUUCCCAUCUAAAGAUGCACGUUAGAUGAAGAUAAUCACCGAAUACACCGGGGCUCCUCAUUUCAGUCGUAACGCAUCCACUGAGAUUGGAACGAUUGAGUUCAGUUGAAAGGCGUUUUUUGUGUUCCUACUGGGAGCUCACGGUGAUGUGGGGCUCUAGGGGGGAUGUGAGAAAUGUCUCUUCUGUUCAUUGCUCUCCAGAGAAUGCUAUGGACAAGAAUCAAAUUUUACCAGGAGUAAUUGCCCAUGGAAACAUUCUGUUUUUCAAAAGAAGAAUGUACAUAUUCCACUUGGCUGGGAAGCUGUGUGGCCCAAAUCACUGUUUGAGUGGAGGAAUGUUUUCUAGAGCAGUGACUGGAAGGACAAACGUGGUGUUGCAGAACAAAAAUUCCUUGCCUUUGGGAUGGAAUGGUGGUGCCUUUUCCAUGUGAUGAGAAAUGCUUCAUAGACAGUGGCAUGUGGGAGAGCUGAAGGAGGAGGCGUGUUCCAUAUUCCACUCAUUCAAAGGACAGCUUGGUGUUUUCACACUUUAUGCAGGUUAGGGGAUCUGAUUAAUGUUUCCUUUCCUUACAACAGCUAGAGAAAACAUCUCAUCACAAUUGGAGACCUCUACUUCCUUCGAGCUUUCCUACUCAAUGGUAGGAGAUAGUAAUAUGUUCAGCAAAGAAUGUCUACUGCUCUUGUCCUUGGCUGUGAUCCCUAUACAUAGUGUGAAUUUAUAUCCAGAUUUCCCAGGAUCAAUAUUGACAAGAUGACUUUGGCAUCUGAAUUGUUUUAAUAUCUUUACUC
rnacentral:sRNA from 1 species